CCCCUCCUCUCUCUCCCUGAGCUCUCCUCUCCCCUUUUCCUCUCCCCUCUCUCCCUCUCUCUCCCUAAGCUCUCCUCUCUCCUUCUUCUUAAACUCUCCUCUCUCCGUGCUCUCCCCCUUCUGUUCCCAUCGAUGAGCCCCUCUCCACCGUCACUGCAGCCGUCCAUCAUCCACCAUUCGCCGUCUGCAUCGCUCGCCGCCUGCUACCCGCCAUCCGCCGUCUGCAGGAGGUAAGGUUCCAACCUUUUUUUUUUGUGUUGAUUGAGCCACUAGGGGGU
rnacentral:lncRNA from 1 species